AAUCGUACGUAGAGUGUAAAGGCAAAAGAGAGCUUGAUUGCAAGACAUACAGGUCGAGAAAGGAUGAAAAUCGUACUUAGUGAGCCGGUGGUUCUGCGUGGAAGGGCCAUCGCUCAACGGAUAAAAGCUACCCUGGGGAUAACAGGCUUAUCUCCCCCAAGAGUCCACAUCGACGGGGAGGUUUGGCACCUCGAUGUCGGCUCAUCACA
rnacentral:rRNA from 1 species